rnacentral:rRNA from 1 species
AGAGUUUGAUCAUGGCUCAGAUUGAACGCUGGCGGCAGGCUUAACACAUGCAAGUCGAGCGGUAACAGAUCCAGCUUGCUGGAUGCUGACGAGCGGCGGACGGGUGAGUAACGCGUAGGAAUCUACCCAGUAGCGGGGGAUAGCCCGGGGAAACCCGGAUUAAUACCGCAUACGCCCUAUGGGGGAAAGCAGGGGAUCUUCGGACCUUGCACUAUUGGAUGAGCCUGCGUCGGAUUAGCUAGUUGGUGGGGUAAAGGCCUACCAAGGCGACGAUCCGUAGCUGGUCUGAGAGGAUGAUCAGCCACACCGGGACUGAGACACGGCCCGGACUCCUACGGGAGGCAGCAGUGGGGAAUAUUGGACAAUGGGGGCAACCCUGAUCCAGCCAUGCCGCGUGUGUGAAGAAGGCUUUCGGGUUGUAAAGCACUUUCAGUGAGGAGGAAAUGGUGAUGGUUAAUAGCGAUCACAAUUGACGUUACUCACAGAAGAAGCACCGGCUAACUCCGUGCCAGCAGCCGCGGUAAUACGGAGGGUGCAAGCGUUAAUCGGAAUUACUGGGCGUAAAGCGCGCGUAGGCGGCUAAAUCAGUCGGGUGUGAAAGCCCCGGGCUCAACCUGGGAACUGCAUUCGAUACUGUUUAGCUGGAGUAUGGGAGAGGGUAGUGGAAUUCCACGUGUAGCGGUGAAAUGCGUAGAUAUGUGGAGGAACACCCGUGGCGAAGGCGACUGCCUGGCCCAAUACUGACGCUGAGGUGCGAAAGCGUGGGUAGCGAACAGGAUUAGAUACCCUGGUAGUCCACGCCGUAAACGAUGUCAACUAGCCGUUGGAGGACUUGAUCUUUUAGUGGCGCAGCUAACGCGAUAAGUUGACCGCCUGGGGAGUACGGCCGCAAGGUUAA